CAAGUCCCACCUGACUAAAGUCUAGCCAACAGGUCAGUAGAGAAGUCUGCGGGUAAGCCCGGUAACGGGAGUCCGAAGCCGGAUGGAUCAAGGGUGCAGGCUCUGUAUUGAGCCCCGAAAUAUGUAUAGUUGUGGUCACUAGGAUAGCCUCUCGGAGUAUGGAGAGAGUGAAAGCCGACGCCGUGCAGCGGUGCGGAAGGCAGCAGUUCUGGAUGCGAUAUGGCGAUGUAUACAGGACACCACCGGGGUCUGAGAUCA
rfam:Nitrospinae bacterium RIFCSPLOWO2_12_FTLL_45_22 rifcsplowo2_12_scaffold_11679, whole genome shotgun sequence.